UACGUAGGGGCCUAGCGUUGUCCGGAUUUAUUGGGCGUAAAGAGCUCGUAGGCGGUUUGUCGCGUCUGCUGUGAAAACUGGAGGCUCAACCUCCAGCCUGCAGUGGGUACGGGCAGACUAGAGUGCGGUAGGGGGAGAUUGGAAUUCCUGGUGUAGCGGUGGAAUGCGCAGAUAUCAGGAGGAACACCGAUGGCGAAGGCAGAUCUCUGGGCCGUAACUGACGCUGAGGAGCGAAAGCAUGGGGAGCGAACAGG
rnacentral:rRNA from 1 species